GAUUGUGCUUUUUUCCAGUAAUGCAUGUUAUUGUGCAAGGGGUAGUUGCAUGGACUAUCAGUGGAGGAACAGAAAGCUCUGAGAUUUCAUUAUAAAGAUCUUCAUUUGUGUUCUGAAGAUGAACGAAAGACUUGCGGGUUUGGAACGAUAUGAGGUUGAAGUAACAAGGUCAAAAGGAUCCUAGUUAAUAUUCCAACUUAUACCAGACACAGGCAGGAUAACAGGAUGUGUGGAAUGUAACACCAACUCCAAGCCUGACUUCCAGAAGAGCAGAAACAACUUCUCCAAACAGGAGUAGGAAAACAAAGGUGUGUGGCAUACAACAAAAAUACUUAAAUGUAAACAGUGCAAUCAAUCUUUUGUGUAUAACACUGCAUGUGGGCAUAUUUUGUUUUUUUCUGACACUCCUGUCACUCCACUUCUCAGGUCGUCAUACAUCUCCCAAACACAUGGAGACCUCCUGCAGUAGGCCACAUAAUGUCCAAGAGCAUCCUGGGUUAAGCCUCCUUUGAAAGCAAUGACUGCCCUUAAAGUAAAUCUCUCUCCUUGGAGCAUCAGAUUUGAGGGAAACUUACUCAAAGGAAAUUCUAUGGAGUUGCUUCCCAGAGGGACACUGUGAUGGACUUUGGAUUGGCCUGAGGCAGGGGGACUCCGGAAGGUUAAGGCCUUCUUCCACUGCGGUCUGAAGAUGAGCGAUGCCAGAAGCCUGCAAUACAGCAACAGAAGUACAAACAAAUGGUAUUUCCCUUGUGACUUGUGUGCUGUGACUGCAAUACUGUGAGGAGCACUGUUUUGUGAAGUAAACACAUGCAUGUUUUGUCAUUGAUUUUUCAA